AAGCAGGGAGGCUGACAGUAGGGGGAGGUAGAGCCAAUGACAGGCUGAACAAACUAUUUCUGCUUUUGUCCCUAUCCUCCUCCUUGCCGGGUUUUACAAAAACAACUCUGAACUUCAGAAGGAGGCAGCUAACAGCAAGGAUUACCCCUCCCCCCUUGGACAGGUUCUAAGGAUGAAGGCAGGCAGGUGAGCUUGUAGGAAUUGAAUUAAGUUGGUGGGGCAAUGUCCCACUGGGAACAAUCCUCAGCUCUGGGACUGUCUUCCCCUUCUCUUCUUCUCUAGCAAUUCCUAAGGAUUAGAUCAGACAGAUGCUUUUCUGUUCCACAUGAAAUGGCACUGCAGGUACAGGGGUACCUCAGGUUAAUUACUUAAUUCGUUCUGGAGGUCUGUUCUUAACCUGAAACUGUUCUUAACCUGAAGCACCACUUUAGCUAAUGGGGCCUCCUGCUGCUGCCGCGCUGCUGGAGCACGAUUUCUGUUCUCAUCCUGAAGCAAAGUUCUUAACCCGAGGUACUAUUUCUGGGUUAGCGGAGUCUGUAACCUGAAGCGUAUGUAACCCGAGGUACGACUGUAUUUGUUAGCAAUCUUGUUUAUUUGCAUCUCUUUCUAUUCAACCAUUUAUAGCUGUUUCUUAGAGAUUUAAAUAGAUGACUUGGUGUCACUUUUGUCUUCAAUGGCCACAAUAAAACUCAUAGCAUUGAGAUAGACUUGAAUAUUUUUGUGAGCUUAUAUAAUGCUAUUAUUAUUUUUAUUAAUCAUCUUCUGUGCAAUUGUCUCAAGGGAAUGUACAUCAAAAACAUAAAAAUAUCAGUUUAAAACACAUACAAACCCAAGACACUUUUAAAAAUGUAUUCAGUCAUUUCCAAAAAGUACAGAUAGUGGAUGCCCAUUGUAUUGCAACAAGAAUGCUAUUCCACAGAGCAGAGCCAGCCACGCUAAGAACAACAACAACCCCGGUCUGUGUUGCUAUGGAGUGGCAUUCUGAGAUUUUUGAAACUUGGAACUUUUCUACAGACUGCAGUGAUCUACUGGGUAUAUAAUGGGCAAGGCAGUCUCUCACGUAAGCUGGUCCUGAGCUGUAUAGGGCCUGUGUCUUUUUUUUUUUUUAAAUGAUAUUUAUUAAAGUUUCAAUAAAAGAUUAAACAUAAAACAUAAAAAAGAAAUACACAAUUCGAAAAUACACAAUACAUAAUCCAAAAGAAAAAAAAGGAACAAAAAACAAAAGACAAAAAAGAAAAAAGAACAAUUAAAAACAAUAUCACCUUUUCAUCUCCAUUUUUAAAUUAACUUAUUUUCUGGACCUCCUCGUACCUCCCUCUUUUGUAUUCCAGUUCAAAUUGUUUGUCCAGCAAUUUCUUUCCCUCUUUUUUAAUCCCAAUCUUUACUCUUAGUAUAAUAUAACAUUAAAAUUUUACCUUUUAAAAACCAAAUUUCCAUUUCCUUAAACUUUUUUAAUCCUAAUCCUUAAUCUUAAUCUAUCCAUAACUUUAAAUCCUGUACAGCUGGAAGCCACUUAUUUUCAAUCCAACAUCACUCUAACAUUCUUUAAUUUUGCAAUGUUUCUGCAAAUAGUCUUUGAAUUUCUUCCAAUCUUCCUCCACCGACUCUUCUUCCUGGUCACGGAUUCUACCAGUCAUUUCUGCCAGUUCCAUAUAGUCCAUCAGUUUCAUCUGCCAUUCCUCCAGUGUGGGAAGCUCUUGUGUCUUCCAAUACUUUGCAAUGAGUAUUCUUGCUGCUGUUGUUGCAUACAUAAAGAAAGUUCUAUCCUUUUUUAUCACCAUUUGGCCGACUAUGCCCAGGAGAAAGGCCUCUGGUUUCUUGGGGAAGGUAUAUUUGAAUACCUUUUUUAAUUCAUUAUAUAUCAUUUCCCAGAAAGCCUUAAUCUUUGGGCAUGUCCACCAAAGGUGGAAAAAUGUACCUUCAGUUUCUUUACAUUUCCAACAUUUAUUAUCGGGUAUAGGGCCUGUGUCUUAGUACUAACAACCUGAACUUAGCCCAGUAAUGUUGCACAGAAAUAGAAACAGAUCAUCAGUGCAAUUAUAUUUAUUAAAAGUUCAGCAUUGGUUGACCCCUGAAUCAUACCUAUGUGGAAUUUUUUCUGCAUAUAGAUCUGGCUAAACCUGUAUAGCACCCUUUUUUGGAUUGCAACCUAUAGGAUUAUGCACCCACCCAAACACACAUACUUAUGCUAAACCAGCAAGGGAGAACCACAGGCAAGUAUUAUGGACGUGCUCCUCUGAAUAUGAUUCCCAGGGGAUAGAGCAUUUGGUUUAACUGGACCACAGAACUUGGAUUUAAGACGGUUUAGGGGUAAUUCCCAUACCUAUUUUAAGACGGUGGUUGUCUGAUGAAAUCAACAUUAAGCAGAGUUUCCCAGGAGAUUUUGGCAUGGUGAACAAGGCUUGUGGUUGAGCAAAUCACUUGCCACAUCCUUCAGAAGGCAGCUGUGAAGAUGUGUCAGAGCAGCCCAAACACCGGCUCACUGCACCCAAUAUUGAUCAUUUAAAAAACAAAGCAAAUGGUGUUAUUCUCUCCAGAAGUAACCUGCAACAUGGAUUUUUUUAAAGUAUCAGAAUCAGCAUGGGUUGCACCAGAGAGGUGGGAUGCUCCCCAAACAAGGAGCUUCCCCCCAUAGUUGGACUCCUGCCAUUAAUAUAUAGUGUUCUUUUUCUUUCAGAGCUCUUAACAUGUGGGACACAACUCAACCACCUAGAAAUAUACUUUGCGCCUUUUGUGCAAACCCACUCCUCCAAUUUGUUGGUGCCACCAGUGUGAAUCACCUGGAGUUUUCUUGGCAGGGAUACUGGAGUGGCUUGCCAGUUCCUGCUCCAGGUGGAUCACGUGUAGUCAAAACUCUCCACUAUGACCUGUCCGUCUUGAGUGGCCCUGCAUGGCGUAGCUCAUAGCUUCUCUGAGUUAUAGCUCAAGCCCCUUCACCACGACAAGGCAGUGAUCCAUGAAGGAAUACUUUGGCCACCUCAUGAGAAGAGAAGACUCCCUGGAAAAGACCCUGAUGUUGAGAAAGAUGGAGGGCACAAGGAGAAGGGGACGACAGAGGACGAGAUGGUGGGACAGUGUUCCACUUGCAAUUCUUUGAUUCUGUUCACGCCGAAGGAAGCGAUUAGGAUAGUCAGGCAGCAGCGAUGACAUGAUCUGGCUGGCAGAUGCACACAGGCCACAUCACCUCCACCUCUCACCACUUUGGGUACAAAUUUCAGAAUUGCGGCUGGUAUCUUGAGGAUACCUUUGAGAGAGAUGACUAGAACUGCUUUGGGUUUAUCGUGAAAAUAUCAUUUAUUAAUGUUCUGCAGAUCACAGUGGAGAAGUGUUAUUUAUUUCAUUUUAUAAUUUAAAGUGAAAAUAUUUUAAUAGUAUCUUAGUUUCUGAUAGAUAUCGAAUGUCCAAUUAAAAAUAAAGCUAGUAAGAGUUCCCGAAUACAGUGGUACCUCGGGUUACAAACACUUUGCGUUACAGACUCUGCUAACCCGGAAGUAGUACCUUGGGUUAAGAACUUUACCUCAGGAUGAGAACCGAAAUUGUGCGGUGGUGGCGCAGUGGCAGUGGGAGGUCCCAUUAGCUAAAGUGGUACCUCAGGUUAAGAACAGUUUCAGGUUAAGAACGGACCUCCGGAACAAAUUAAGUUCGUAACCAGAGGUACCACUGUGGUGGGGGUGGGGAGGAAUCAGUAAUAAACAUUUUAUGUUCUGUAAAAAUUAGGGUAAUUGUGGCCAAAAAUUGAGGGAGUGCUUGAAAGGGUACCAGUUGCAGGUUGAGUUUUUUAAAAAAAUAAUCCGGAAAUUAUUAAUAUUAUUAUUAAUAAUAACAACCCAGAGGAAUUUUUAAAAUGUAGGAACUAUUUCUGCAUUAAAGCUAAGAUUUUAUUGUGAAAAAGCACAGUGAUUUUUUAAAAAUGUUGUUUAAGAACUCUGAAAAAGCUUACUGCUGCUUUUGGCUUUUUCCUACCAGACCUUCACAUUGCAUGCACUGCAUUAAGAGAUUUUAUUUGCCUCAGUAUUAUAUGAUGACCUCAUACUGUAAUCAGUAAUCUUUUCCCAAAAUCUAGCAGUGUUCUUCUGCAUUGUAACUUCCCAUUUGGACUAUUUUUAAUUAAAAGAAAUGGAUUUACGGUCCAUUUAAUCCAAAUAGUUCAGGGCAGGCAACCAUUUGCUAACUAUUCUACCAUAUCCCAAGUUUGCACCAUUUCUAGCACUCACUCGCAUGCCACACAAUUUUAGACGGGAGUGUAUCUGAUAGCCGGUUUGUUUUAUAUAUAAAACCCUUGCUCUGACAUCAAGACAGAUGUUGUUGUGGCUGCUCCAAGGCUGCAGUUUUAAAGAAAUAUUCCAAAUAUUUUAGACCUACUGUCAAGGUAGGAAAGCUACAAAGAACCAAAACGGAUAAACUUGGUUGAAAUCUAAAAUCAUCUCUGUUCUGUCCGUAGCACAACUGCUGCUUCCAAGAUAUAAAUUUGUUAAUUUCCCUGUUAUUAGAAAGAAUUUGAACACACUCCAGUCCCCCAGAAAUGCUGACCGAGAGAACUGGAGGUCGGUGCUUUCGCAAUAAAGAACGCUGGUCAAUAUACAAGUGAAGAAAAAUGGAACCAGAUGUGAGUAAUCGGAC
rnacentral:lncRNA from 1 species